GUUGGGUGAUGAUUCGAGUGAUCGUGCAUCAGGGCGAUCUAGUUGACAAGUUAGCUAAUUAUAUUUUGAUCUUGUUAGAAUCAUGUGUAAAUAAGAGAAAGUUGGUGCAUUCUUUUCCAGUUACAGAUCAAUUGAUCAUAUUCUACUGGUUUAUAAGCACACAACUAUGUUUAUUUAUUUAUUUUUUUAAUAAUUUUUUUUCACAUACAACAAGUGUAGGUGAAAAAAUAUUUAAGUGUUUGUUUGUGUGCGUUGCUCAAGCACGUUACACCUAUCAUGUCUUCCUUCCUAAUUAUUUUAUAUGUCAUGAUCAAGUUAAUUUUA
rnacentral:lncRNA from 1 species